rnacentral:rRNA from 1 species
UUGGUCAUUUAGAGGAAGUAAAAGUCAUAACAAGGUUUCCGUAGGUGAACCUGCGGAAGGAUCAUUAGAGAAUCGCCGGAAGGCUUUCUUUCACACACACACCCGUGCACUCGUGACCUCGUGGUCGCAUUCACACCAAAACAGUUGUCAUGAACGUGAAUCAUCGUAACAUCAAAACAACUUUCAACAACGGAUCUCUUGGCUCUCGCAUCGAUGAAGAACGCAGCGAAAUGCGAUAAGUAAUGUGAAUUGCAGAAUUCAGUGAAUCAUCGAAUCUUUGAACGCACCUUGCGCCCUUUGGUAUUCCGAAGGGCAUGCCUGUUUGAGUGUCAUGUAGACUCAACACCCCCGGGUUCCCGGCGGUGCUGGAUUUGGGCGCUGGCCUUUGUGGGCCUCGCCUCAAACAUGUUAGUGGGUUACGCCGGGACGUUUUAAGCACUCGUCUCACGGUGGCCCUCUCACAAAGACGCCUUCUACUUUUUGACUUCUGACCUCAAAUCAGGCAGGGCUACCCGCUGAACUUAAGCAUAUCAAUAAGCGGAGGAA